GUGAAUCAUCGAAUCUUUGAACGCACAUUGCGCCCCUGGGCAUUCCUAGGGGCAUGCCUGUUCGAGCGUCAUUGUAAAAUCUCAAGCUCAGCUUGGUGUUGGGUGUUCGCCCCUCCCCGUUCCAAGGGGGGUCAGGGUGUGCCUGAAAAUCAGUGGCGGUGCCAUGAUGGCCUCAAGCGUAGUAGACUCUCUCUCGCUUUUGGAUGGUUCGUCGUGUGGCUCACCAGCCUAACUUGAAAUCUUAGAAAGGUUUGACCUCGGAUCAGGUAGGGAUACCCGCUGAACUUAAGCAUAUCAAUAAGCGGAGGA
rnacentral:misc_RNA from 1 species